CUGAGGUUUUUUAAAAUCAUCAAGAUUAAGAUUAUGGUUAAAUUUAAACUGUUGAAUCUCUGAAAAGAUUCCUGAAAUCAGAAAGAUUUCAGUUAUAUAAUGUUAGUUUCAUUCUAAUGUCAGAGUUUCACGUCUCUUGGUCUUUAUUCCUGGUAAUUAGCUCAAAACUGUUUUAAUCUUUUAAAAGCUGUAGCUAAACUGUGGUGUCUCUGUGUGAACUGGAAGCCAUGUUGCAUGUUUUUCUCUUAGGUGGAUUAUUUUAAUGACCUUGUUAACUGUUUUUUGAUAAAUCUGCAAUGCAUCACGUUCAAACUGCAGAAAGCUGCAGCUCGACUCUUACCAAGCUAGAGAGUUCACGUUACUCCAGUCUUCACUUCUUCUCAGGCUGCCAACUGUCACAGCUACUGCUGAGCAGUGACCACUCACACCUGAUCAUCAUCACCCUGAUCCCCAGCUGCUGCCAUAUAAGGACGGAUCUUCCCCCUGCACGGUGUCAGAUUGUUGUGAAACCCUCAGCGUUGCCUCUCCUGUCCCCGAUCCGGACCCUCUCCACUGGAUAAGGACCUCCUGGCUUUGACCCCCUGUCUGUCUGACCCUGAGAUCUGGAACCGCCUGACCCCGAUUUGGAUUCCCUGGUUCUGACCCUGGCCUGUCUGACUGAGAACAAGUUUAUUUCCUAAUAAACAACUGUUUUUGUAUUC